GGGCCGCUAGCUCAACUGGCAGAGCAGCUGACUCUUAAUCAGCGGGUUAUAGGUUCGAGUCCUAUGCGGCUCA
rnacentral:tRNA from 1 species